rnacentral:rRNA from 1 species
UCAUAUGCUUGUCUCAAAGAUUAAGCCAUGCAUGUCUAAGUAUAAGCAAUCUAUACAGUGAAACUGCGAAUGGCUCAUUAAAUCAGUUAUCGUUUAUUUGAUAGUACCUUACUACUUGGAUAACCGUGGUAAUUCUAGAGCUAAUACAUGCUAAAAACCUCGACUUCGGAAGGGGUGUAUUUAUUAGAUAAAAAACCAAUGCCCUUCGGGGCUCCUUGGUGAUUCAUGAUAACUUAACGAAUCGCAUGGCCUUGUGCCGGCGAUGGUUCAUUCAAAUUUCUGCCCUAUCAACUUUCGAUGGUAGGAUAGUGGCCUACCAUGGUUUCAACGGGUAACGGGGAAUUAGGGUUCUAUUCCGGAGAGGGAGCCUGAGAAACGGCUACCACAUCCAAGGAAGGCAGCAGGCGCGCAAAUUACCCAAUCCCGACACGGGGAGGUAGUGACAAUAAAUACUGAUACAGGGCUCUUUUGGGUCUUGUAAUUGGAAUGAGUACAAUUUAAAUCCCUUAACGAGGAACAAUUGGAGGGCAAGUCUGGUGCCAGCAGCCGCGGUAAUUCCAGCUCCAAUAGCGUAUAUUAAAGUUGUUGCAGUUAAAAAGCUCGUAGUUGAACCUUGGGCCUGGCUGGCCGGUCCGCCUCACCGCGUGCACUGGUCCGGCCGGGCCUUUCCUCCUGGGGAGCCGCAUGCCCUUCACUGGGUGUGUCGGGGAACCAGGACUUUUACUUUGAAAAAAUUAGAGUGUUCAAAGCAGGCCUAUGCUCGAAUACAUUAGCAUGGAAUAAUAGAAUAGGACGUGUGGUUCUAUUUUGUUGGUUUCUAGGACCGCCGUAAUGAUUAAUAGGGAUAGUCGGGGGCAUCAGUAUUCAAUUGUCAGAGGUGAAAUUCUUGGAUUUAUUGAAGACUAACUACUGCGAAAGCAUUUGCCAAGGAUGUUUUCAUUAAUCAGUGAACGAAAGUUAGGGGAUCGAAGACGAUCAGAUACCGUCGUAGUCUUAACCAUAAACUAUGCCGACUAGGGAUCGGGCGAUGUUAUCUUUUUGACUCGCUCGGCACCUUACGAGAAAUCAAAGUUUUUGGGUUCUGGGGGGAGUAGUGUCGCAAG